rfam:Gossypium hirsutum cultivar TM-1 chromosome 20, whole genome shotgun sequence
UAUUAAAAAUUUCAUCUAUUUGUAUUGUUAAAAAUUGGCAUGCAUAAGGAAAUAACUAGACGGUGACAUGUGUCACAUGUAUGUUAUGUUGACGUCCAAAAAUCAACUUUUAAUAAUAGAAAUGAAUGAAAACUUUAACA